rnacentral:rRNA from 2 species
GCUAAUACAUGCAAGUCGAACGCGUUGGCCCAAUUGAUUGAUGGUGCUUGCACCUGAUUGAUUUUGGUCGCCAACGAGUGGCGGACGGGUGAGUAACACGUAGGUAACCUGCCCAGAAGCGGGGGACAACAUUUGGAAACAGAUGCUAAUACCGCAUAACAGCGUUGUUCGCAUGAACAACGCUUAAAAGAUGGCUUCUCGCUAUCACUUCUGGAUGGACCUGCGGUGCAUUAGCUUGUUGGUGGGGUAACGGCCUACCAAGGCGAUGAUGCAUAGCCGAGUUGAGAGACUGAUCGGCCACAAUGGGACUGAGACACGGCCCAUACUCCUACGGGAGGCAGCAGUAGGGAAUCUUCCACAAUGGGCGCAAGCCUGAUGGAGCAACACCGCGUGAGUGAAGAAGGGUUUCGGCUCGUAAAGCUCUGUUGUUAAAGAAGAACACGUAUGAGAGUAACUGUUCAUACGUUGACGGUAUUUAACCAGAAAGUCACGGCUAACUACGUGCCAGCAGCCGCGGUAAUACGUAGGUGGCAAGCGUUAUCCGGAUUUAUUGGGCGUAAAGAGAGUGCAGGCGGUUUUCUAAGUCUGAUGUGAAAGCCUUCGGCUUAACCGGAGAAGUGCAUCGGAAACUGGAUAACUUGAGUGCAGAAGAGGGUAGUGGAACUCCAUGUGUAGCGGUGGAAUGCGUAGAUAUAUGGAAGAACACCAGUGGCGAAGGCGGCUACCUGGUCUGCAACUGACGCUGAGACUCGAAAGCAUGGGUAGCGAACAGGAUUAGAUACCCUGGUAGUCCAUGCCGUAAACGAUGAGUGCUAGGUGUUGGAGGGUUUCCGCCCUUCAGUGCCGGAGCUAACGCAUUAAGCACUCCGCCUGGGGAGUACGACCGCAAGGUUGAAACUCAAAGGAAUUGACGGGGGCCCGCACAAGCGGUGGAGCAUGUGGUUUAAUUCGAAGCUACGCGAAGAACCUUACCAGGUCUUGACAUCUUGCGCCAACCCUAAAGAUAGGGCGUUUCCUUCGGGAACCCAAUGACAGGGGGGGCAUGGUCGUCGUCAGCUCGUGUCCGUGAGAUGUUGGGUUAAGUCCCGCAACGAGCGCAACCCUUGUUACUAGUUGCCAGCAUUAAGUUGGGCACUCUAGUGAGACUGCCGGUGACAAACCGGAGGAAGGUGGGGACGACGUCAGAUCAUCAUGCCCCUUAUGACCUGGGCUACACACGUGCUACAAUGGACGGUACAACGAGUCGCGAACUCGCGAGGGCAAGCAAAUCUCUUAAAACCGUUCUCAGUUCGGACUGCAGGCUGCAACUCGCCUGCACGAAGUCGGAAUCGCUAGUAAUCGCGGAUCAGCAUGCCGCGGUGAAUACGUUCCCGGGCCUUGUACACACCGCCCGUCACACCAUGAGAGUUUGUAACACCCAAAGUCGGUGGGGUAACCUUUUAGGAGCCAGCCGCCCUAAUGGG